rnacentral:rRNA from 1 species
CCUGAUGACCAUAGCAAGUUGGUCCCACCCCUUCCCAUCCCGAACAGGACCGUGAAACAACUUUGCGCCGAUGAUAGUGCUGCAACCAG